UUGAUUUUUGCAGCUAUGGAAGGAAACUACAUUGAUAAGACUCGAGUGUUGGAUAUCAAACCAUUGCGUACUCUCAGACCUAUCUUCCCUAGUGGGAAUCAAGCUCCUCCUUUCGUCUGUGCACCUCCUUUUGGUCCCUUUCCAGCUGGAUUCUCACCUUUCUACCCCUUUGGCUCCUCUCAAGUGAAUGAACAAACACCAGAUCUCUCUCAAGCUCAACACCAGCCUCAGCUUCCACCUCAAGGUCAGCAUCAGCCUCAGAAUCUAUCAGAACGUUCGCUGGCUACUCCUUCGAGGCCACUUAGAUCUUCUAAUGGAGACAUAGAGCCUGUGGAGUCAACUUUGAAAAGAAAGACUCCUAAAAAGCGUCAGCUCUCUACUGUGAAUUUCGAGAGUGGGAUUAGUGUUGCUGAAAGAGACAAUGGCAACAGGGAGCUGGUUACGAGUGUUCUUAUGCGGUUUGACGCGUUGAGAAGAAGGCUUGCACAGCUGGAGGAUGCGGAGAAUGCAGUCAACGGGAUCAUCAAACGCCCUGAUUUAAAAGCAGGAUCUACUUGUAUGAGCAGAGGGGUUAGGACCAACACCAAGAAGAGACCAGGUCUUGUUCCAGGCGUUGAGAUUGGGGACAUAUUCUUCUUCAGGUUUGAGAUGUGUUUGGUCGGGUUGCAUUCUCCAUCGAUGGCUGGCAUUGACUAUCUGGUCAUCAAGGGGGGAGAUGCAGAAGAAGAGGAGCCUAUCGCCACCAGCAUUGUAUCUUCUGCAUAUACCGAAAACGACAGAGUUAAUCCGGAUGUUCUGGUGUACACCGGUCAGGGAGGUCACGCUGAUAAAGAUAAAGAAGCAUCAGACCAGAAGCUGGAGAGAGGUAACCUCGCUUUGGAGAAGAGCUUGCAUAGGAACAAUGCGGUUAGGGUGAUCAGAGGCUUGAACUUGAAGGAAGCUACUCACAGGGUUAAGAUCUAUGUCUACGAUGGGAUCUACGAGAUCAAAGAGGCGUGGAUAGAGAAAGGCAAAUCAGGACACGACACCUUCAAGUAUAAGCUAGUGAGAGCUCCUAAUCAGCCUCCUGGUUUUGCUACGUGGACCGAGAUACAAAGUUGGAAGACUGGUAAGUCCCCAAGGAGAGGACUCAUCCUCCCUGAUCUCACUUCCGGCGUCGAAAGCGUAGCUGUCUCGCUUGUGAACGAAGUUGAUAGCGAGAAUGGUCCUUCUUACUUCACCUACUCCACAACGGUUAAAUACUCAAUGUCCUUUCAGCUGACGCAGCCUUCUAGCGGAUGCGGUUGCGGAAACAAAUGCAAGCCGGGGAACUUGGAAUGCCCCUGCAUAAGGAAGAACGGAGGCGAGUUUCCUUACACAGGGAAUGAUAUUUUAGUUAGCCGGAGGCCUAUGGUAUAUGAAUGCAGCCCUUCUUGCCCUUGCUUGACUUGUAAAAGCAAGGUGACUCAGAUGGGAGUGAAACUGAGGCUGGAGGUUUUCAAGACGGUGGAUAGAGGAUGGGGGUUACGCUCGUGGGAUCCUAUUCGCGCCGGUGCGUUUAUAUGUGUGUAUGCAGGUGAGGCCAGAGAUAAGUCGAAAGUGCAGCAGACGAUGGCUAACGAUGACUUUACGUUUGAUACAACGCGCGUUUACACCCCUUUUAAAUGGAACUAUGAGGCUGGCUUAGCGGACGAAGAUGCUUCCGAGGAGGUGUCUGAAGAACCUAUACUCCCUUUGCCUCUUAUAAUCAGUGCUAAGAAUAUUGGGAACGUUGCACGGUUCAUGAAUCACAGUUGCUCUCCUAAUGUUUUCUGGCAGCCGGUUAGUUAUGAGAAUAACGGUCAGCUCUACUUGCACGUCGCCUUCUUUGCUAUUUCACACAUCCCUCCCAUGACUGAGUUGACUUACGACUAUGGUGUUUCAAGACCAACGGGAGCUCAAAAUGGCAAUCCUGUGUAUGGUAAAAAGAGGUGCUUUUGCGGAACACAGUAUUGCCGUGGCUCAUUUGGUUGAUGCCAACGUGUAAAAGGUUUGUUUCUCUGAGCUUUUUGUUAUUUAUUGAAUCUAUAUUCAUUAUCUGAUUACAGGUAGUGGAAGUGACUGCUUUUGGUUUACAGGUAAAGUGUUUAAAGUCUUCUUCUCUUCAACGGCAUAAGACGCAAAGCUGUGAUGGAUUCUUUCCUGCUUCUUCUCCAUCAAAGUCUUUAUCUAUUUCUCUGAUCCUAGGAAAUGUAUCCUUCUCUCCUGUUGGAUAUGUGAUCUUAUUAGUAUUUUUUUUUCAGAUUGUUUUUAGGACAAAACCUAUGGGAAGUUGGGAAACUAGUAGCCUAUCUUUGUUUGAUUAAAAGAUUUGAUGAAUAUGAUAAUCAGUUUUAACAGUUUAUCUGUCUUAUGCAAUGACAACUAUAAACAGCUUCUUGUACAGACCACCACCACUACACACUAAAAACAGUACAACUAACAUGUUUACAAAUCGGUUAAUAUGAUUAGUAAGUUCAGCUUGGUGAUUCUAAAACUAAAGAAAGAAUCAUUUGGACCUCAAAGACUGAGAGCUACAGCCAUCUUUACACACGUGUGAAAAACCAAACCGGCAACCGACAAAAGCUCCAAAAAGGCGUUACAUCACGAAAAGAAGGAAUGCAAGUAAAACUACAAAGGACGAAACUGAAACCUCCUACGUAGGUAAUCCCAGUCAUAUUAGAUCAUCGUACGGCUCAAGAUCAAAUGAUUUAGAUCCAACGGUUAAAAUCUUAUCGGCUUCUUCUCCAACUGUUACAGAUGUAGAGUGAAAAAAUCACACAGAUGUUAAUUAAUAUUAGUAAUUUCUUACCAAAGCUGGAAACUUUAUGCUCUAAUCUUCUUCCCUCUCGCUCUUCCCCUGUCUCUCUCGUUUCGGAAACCCUAAAUCUGACGGAGCAUUUCGAUCUCCAAGUCCCCAAAUUUUCAGGUUUUUUUUUCCUAAAGUUAUAAGCUUUCUGUGUUAUUGUUAUUGUACAUCUUUGAAUCUGCGAUGAAUGAUGUGUUGAGGGUCCUCUGUUCUUUAGUCAGUAGGCUAGAUUAAUCUGCUAAAGACUGUUCAUUUUCUCCAUUUGCAUAGAAAAAAUCAGAUCUUUUUAUUAAUUUGGUAAAUUUUGAUUGUUCAGCUUACUAUGGAAGGAAACUUCGGAAGCUACACUGACAAGACUCGAGUGUUGGAUAUCAAACCGUUGCGCACUCUCAGACCUGUCUUCCCAAGUGGGAACCAAGCUCCUCCUUUUGUCUGCGCACCUCCUUUUGGUCCGUUCCCUCCUGGCUUCUCUCCUUUCUACCCCUUUAGCUCCUCUCAACACACUCCAGAUCUCAACCAAGCUCAGAAUCCACCUCAGCAUCAGCCUCAUAACAGCUCAGAGC
rnacentral:lncRNA from 1 species